CCAAAGGUUCUUUUCAGAGCCACAUGACUUCCUGAAGGAAGAGCUGU
rfam:Oryctolagus cuniculus chromosome 12, whole genome shotgun sequence.